rnacentral:hammerhead_ribozyme from 1 species
AUCCAUCUGACGAGUCCCAAAUAGGACGAGAUGUGCGUACCGGAU